CUCGUGCACGGCCAGCGUUUGUUUACAUCUCACUGGCGGCAGAGAGCCUGUGUAACAGAGCUUGGUCGACUCGUUCAGACAAGAAAACACGUAAUAAGUGAAGGGAAAAGUGUCAUUUAAUACAAGAAAAAUAAAAUACAAAUAAUGAGGCCACUAAAUAACGAGGAGACAACUCUGGUGUUUAGCAAACUGAAGAACUACAUUGGUAGUAACAUCAGAGCCCUCCUGGAGCGCUCAGAUGGACUAUAUUGCUUCCGUCUUCACAAUGGCAGGAUUUACUACGUUAAAGAAGACAUUAUGAAAUUUGCAGCAACAUUACCAAGAGAGAAUAUUAUAUCACUGGGAGUUUGUUUUGGCAAGAUAACUAAAGGAGGAAAGUUCCUUGUACACAUCACAGCAUUGGAAUUUCUUCAUCCAUAUUGUCAGAACAAAAUAUGGCUGAAAGAAUCUGCAGAACAAAAUUUCAUGUAUGGUAACCACGUUUACAAGUCUGGUCUGGCCCGGAUCUCUGAAAAUACUCCCAAGUAUGCUGGUGCUGUUGUUUACUCUUCAAAAGACAUCCCAUUGCUACAAUGCUGAUGUCAACACAAGCGUGGUUACAGCGAGACUGACUGACUGAGGGAACGCGGGGUGGCGCGGGCGAUGUGUGUGUGUGUGUGGUGUCGCGUGCAAUUUGAAUAAUGUAUAUUCCUCCAGCGGCAAUCCACGUAUUUGCAAAUCCGUGGGUUUGGAGUAGCAGCCAAGGCAACUGCUGAGUGUCGGCAUGCUGACCCCAUGGACAUUGUGUGUUUCCAUCAAGCAGACAUUGGAGAAUAUAUCAGAAAUGAAGACACACUUGUUUAGGAAAAUAUACUGUAUUUUAAAGGAUAUUUUUUUCAUUAAAAUUUAUUUGAAAAUGUA